UGCGUAGGCGGUUGAUUAAGUUGGAUGUGAAAUACCCGGGCUUAACUUGGGGGGUGCAUUCAAAACUGGUUAACUAGAGUACAGGAGAGGGAAGCGGAAUUCCUAGUGUAGCGGUGAAAUGCGUAGAUAUUAGGAGGAACACCAGUAGCGAAGGCGGCUUUCUGGACUGUAACUGACACUGAGGCACGAAAGCGUGAGGAGCAAACA
rnacentral:rRNA from 1 species